rnacentral:lncRNA from 1 species
UGUAUUCGCACUGCUUGUCACAAGUUGUCAACAGGUUUGGAACAACUUGUUGACAACUUGUAACAACCUUGUCGAAAUUAUCAGACUUGUUGCAAGGUUGUUCUGACAAGUCCGUUACAUGCUUGAUGUAACAAGAUUGUUACAACCUUGUGUUGACAACCUUGUAACAUCCUUGUUAUAUCAUGGCUGUAACAAACUUGUUGGCACAAUCUUGUAACAAGGCUGAUAAUGCCAUCAAGCUUGUCACAAGUUGUUAACAGCUUGUUCC